rnacentral:rRNA from 1 species
GGGUUGUGAGGUUAAGCGACUAAGCGUACACGGUGGAUGCCCUGGCAGUCAGAGGCGAUGAAGGGCGUGCUAAUCUGCGAUAAGCGUCGGCGAGGUGAUAUGAACCUUUGACCCGGCGAUACCCGAAUGGGGAAACCCAGUGUGUUUCGACACACUAUCAUGUCAUGAAUACAUAGUGGCAUGAGGCGAACCGGGGGAACUGAAACAUCUAAGUACCCCGAGGAAAAGAAAUCAACCGAGAUUCCCCCAGUAGCGGCGAGCGAACGGGGAGGAGCCCAGAGUCUGAAUCAGCGCGUGUGUUAGUGGAAGCGUCUGGAAAGUCGCACGAUACAGGGUGAAAGUCCCGUACACAAAAAUGCACACGUUGUGAACUCGAAGAGUAGGGCGGGACACGUGGUAUCCUGUCUGAAUAUGGGGGGACCAUCCUCCAAGGCUAAAUACUCCUGACUGACCGAUAGUGAACCAGUACCGUGAGGGAAAGGCGAAAAGAAC